AUGCUGGGGAUGCUAACUAAAGGCUAUGAUCACUACAAAGAUGGCCAAUGUUGGCUCUCGUAUUCCAUUCCGAGGAAUAACCAAUGGCAGUUGGAGAAGGUUAUUCAAUGGCCAGUAAAGCGUGUCAACCUAGUUGAUGUAGCUGGCGGAUGCCUGCUCAUUGAAGCGUGGUACACCACAUCUUCACAAGAGAAGCAGUUUGGAUACUUUUCGGUAGGCCUGAAGACUUUCCAGGUCGAGUUGUUUGCCGAGCAUAGCAAUUCCAUCUUUCUUGCUCGACCAUAUGCUAGUUUCCCACCAUCAUUGUGUGCACCAACUAUAUGA
rnacentral:rRNA from 1 species